UAAGAGAUUCAUGUUGGAGAGGUUACUUAUACCCAACAUAUGAGGGACAGAGAUUCAUGUUGGGGAGGUCGACUAUAGCCAACAUAUGAGGGACAGAGAUUCAUGUUGGGGAGGUUACUUAUAGCCAACAUAUGAGGGUAAGAGAUUCAUGUUGGAGAGGUCGACUAUAGCCAACAUAUGAGGGUAAGAGAUUCAUGUUGGAGAGGUCGACUAUAGCCAACAUAUGAGGGGCAGAUAUUCAUGUUGGGGAGGUUACUUAUAGCCAACAUAUGAGGGGACGAGAUUCAUGUUGUCGAGGAAAGGACCCGCGGGAACCCACUCUAAAACCGUCUCACUAAUCUGCUUUCACUACAUCGGGCGUUUAUUCCCAUGUAUUUCCGCCCUUGAGCUGCCUCCUUCGCUGUAAAAUAAAUAAUACACAACCGCAUGUAUCGUCAGGGAUGCAUACACGUUUACGAAAGAGAAUACAGGACUGAGACGCGUAACGGGAACUGAAACUUAAGCGAUAGAGCGACAGCCAUCGACUUGCGCUGCACAGUAACGAAGCGAUAUUUGAUUCCGAGUUCGUUUUGAUAUAGUACACAGGUGAGGGCUUUGAGUACCCACACCUGUACGCACACACACACACACACCUGUACACACACACACACACACACACACACACACACACACACACACACAGAAACCUACCCUUUAACCUUCUCAGCUUAACACGCCCACACCCACACCCACACUCACUCACACACACACACACACACACACACACACACACACACACACACACACACACACACAAGAAGAGGUGGGAUGCUGCCUCUGAUGCUGAGACCUUAAGAGGCUUUAGAGGUAGAAAAAUACUUGAGCUUCAAAAUUAAUAUCAAAUUCACACCUGCCCCUCGUUUUCUCAUUUAUUUUCUUCCCCUUUUUUACGAACUAAUGAAAUGAACGAAGCGAGUAAGAGAACAUGUUUAUUUUUCAUCAGUUCUCUUUUACGUAGUGUUACUGAGCAAAGGAAAGCCUGUGGACCAAUAAAAAGUGUGAAGUAAACCCCAAGCUGGUCUCUCAUUGGACGAAGCUCUCAUGACGUCACUGCUGAGUUCUGAUUGGGUAAAGCCUCGUGACGGGCCUAGCAGCUCUCUUCUGAUUGGAUGAAGCUUACGCGAAGUUAACAAAAGCUGGAUUCUAAUUGGCUAAAGACCUACUGACGACAUAGAGGUUCUUUUUUAAUUGGAUACGGAUUUUUUCGCGCCGUCAAGACCUUCCUUCUGAUUGGACAGGGUACUUUAAACACUUCCAAAGACAUUUACCACUAACCCUCACGAAGUCAACCAGUGCUGGACUCGAAUUGGCUACAGACCUACUGACGACAUAGAGGCUCUUUUUUAAUUGGAUACGGAUUUUUUCGCGCCGUCAAGAUCUUCCUUCUGAUUGGACAAAGUUCUUUAAACAUUUCCAAAAAACAAGGAAUCCUAAAAUAGUUCUCAAGAAGCCAACCAGAGCUGGAUUCUAAUUGGAUGAAGACCUUCUGACCCUUGAAAGACUCUAUUCUAAUUGGAUACGACUUCUUUCACGUUUUCAAGACCUUAAUCUCAUUGGACAAAGUUCUUUAGAGUAAUUAAAUAUCUGUGGUGACUGUGUGCUUAGGCUGAUUAUAGUUAUUGUUUUUGUUUUUGUUGUUUUUGUUUUGCAUUUAUGAACUAUUAAAUUGUUUUGAGUUGUGGGUAGCUGUAGGUUGAUUGGUGAAUGCGUUGUUGUUGUUGUUGUUGUUGUUGUUGUUGUUGUUGUUGUUGUUGUUGUUGUUGUUGUUGUUGCUGUUGGUACUAUUGUUGUAUUUUGGCAAAUUUAUACAUACUGUCGCACUUCAUAAUUCGGCAUAGCAUUGCAUUUUAAUAUACAAAAGAAAAAUCAACACUUACUUAGCUCAUUAAAAAAAAACACACAAACACACACACACACACACACACACACACACACACACACACACACACACACACACACACACACACACACACACACACACACACACACACAUACGCACACCAAACCUCACACCUGGAUAACAAGAACACACAGGUAGAAACAAUUAACUAACUCACACAACUUCUGCUAAAUCACACGUGUUACCUCUGAUGAAGCUUCUGUGUGUUACGUCAGGGAUUCUUUGGCCCUUGGAACACACAACACAAGCAACACAACAAACACAGGUGAUCAGGUGUUGCCCAGGUGGUUUGAUUAAUUCCUUGGCACCUUGAUUAACCACUUGGCACUCCUCUUCGUCCUUGGCACUGGUGGAAGGGAUGUGGAGGGCCAGAAAAUGUGGGUUUGUGGUUUAUUUAUAUCCUUCAAUUUCCUUUCAUUUUCCUCUCAUGUGCUCCAGGUUCAAAGUUACGGAGAUGAGCACCGAGGCCUCGCGUAACUAUUGCGUAUGCCCCCAACUUUACCUUUUUCCUUAUACGGUUUAACACAUGGAUGAUUUUUUUCUCUCAUGUGCUCCAGGGUCAAAGUUACGGAGAUGAGCACCGAGGCCUCGCGUAGCUAUUGCGUAUGCCCCAAACUUUACCUUUUUCCUUUAACGGUUUAACACAUGGAUGAUAUUUUUCUCUGUUAUUGGUUAAUUGCGAAUUGGUUGACGAUAGGACGUUUUUUUUUAUUUUUACGUUUUUCCGAAGUUCCCGUUUUAGUGUUGAUGUCGAGCUUUGUGUUAAUUUUUUUCGGAGUUUUCAAGGUAAUAGGUAAGAUUUUUCAAGUAUUUUUUUAUAUAUUUUCUUUUUUUCAGUCACUUACAUAUUUUUUUCUUUCUGAACUUUCUGAUUUUGUUGAUUUCCUUCUUUUCCUAAAUACUUUCUUGAUUGAUUCUUAACUUUGCUUCACUAAUACAGAAAAAAAAACUUGAACCGAAACACACACACACACACACACACACACACGGUAGGGAGGGAGGGAUGGCGCAAAACAAACGAGAAAGCAACAGCUUCCACAGUACAAAAGCUCUGUACACACACACACACACACACACACACACACACACACACACACACUAUCGGUUAAUUGAGCGAAACUUGUAUUAACGUUAAACACUUUCGGAACAAGAAUAAAGAAGAGAAAAGGAAGAAAAAGAAGAAGAGACAAAGACGAGGAGGAGGAGGAGGAGGAGGAGGAGGAGGAGGAGGAGGAGGAGGAGGAAGAAAAAGAGGAG